CAUCUUUGUGGAAGCCAUGAUCAGCCAUUCUCAACUGGGCACUUGAAUGGCUGGGAGCGAGUAGUGCAACCGACCCCAUAAUCU
rnacentral:ncRNA from 1 species